rnacentral:rRNA from 1 species
GGCUUAAUACAUGCAAGUCGUGGGGCAGCAUGAGUAGCAAUACUUGAUGGCGACCGGCAAACGGGUGAGGAACACGUACACAACCUUCCUUCAAGCGGGGAAUAGCCCAGAGAAAUUUGGAUUAAUACCCAUAAUAUAUUUGAUAAGGCAUCUUAUUAAUAUUAAAGCUUCGGCACUUGAUGAUGGGUGUGCGGCUGAUUAGAUAGUUGGCGGGGUAACGGCCCACCAAGUCUACGAUCAGUAGCUGAUGUGAGAGCAUGAUCAGCCACACGGGCACUGAGACACGGGCCCGACUCCUACGGGAGGCAGCAGUAAGGAAUAUUGGACAAUGGACGAAAGUCUGAUCCAGCCAUGCCGCGUGAAGGAUUAAGGUCCUCUGGAUUGUAAACUUCUUUUAUAUGGGACGAAAAAAGGGCAUUCUUGUUCACUUGACGGUACCAUAUGAAUAAGCACCGGCUAACUCCGUG